UACAGAGGGGGCAAGCGUUGUCCGGAAUUACUGGGCGUAAAGAGCUCGUAGGUGGUUUGUCGCGUUGUCCGUGAAAUCCCUCAGCUUAACUGGGGAACUGCGUCUGAUACUGGUUGGCUUGAGUGCAGGAGAGGAACGCGGAAUUCCAGGUGUAGCGGUGAAAUGCGUAGAUAUCUGGAGGAACACCGGUGGCGAAGGCGGCGUUCUGGACUGCAACUGACACUGAGGAACGAAAGCCAGGGGAGCAAACGGG
rnacentral:rRNA from 1 species